AGGUGAACCUGCGGAAGGAUCAUUACCGAGUGAGGGUCCCUCGGGGCCCAACCUCCCAUCCGUGUUGUCCUGACACCUGUUGCUUCGGCGGGCCCGCCGUGGUUCACGCCCCGGCCGCCGGGGGGUUCACGCCCCCGGGCCCGCGCCCGCCGAAGACCCCUGGAACGCUGCCUGGAAGGUUGCCGUCUGAGUAUACAAUCAAUCAAUUAAAACUUUCAACAACGGAUCUCUUGGUUCCGGCAUCGAUGAAGAACGCAGCGAAAUGCGAUAAGUAAUGUGAAUUGCAGAAUUCCGUGAAUCAUCGAAUCUUUGAACGCACAUUGCGCCCCCUGGCAUUCCGGGGGGCAUGCCUGUCCGAGCGUCAUUGCUAACCCUCCAGCCCGGCUGGUGUGUUGGGCCGCCGUCCCCCCUCCCCGGGGGACGGGCCCGAAAGGCAGCGGCGGCGUCGCGUCCGGUCCUCGAGCGUAUGGGGCUCUGUCACACGCUUCAGUAGAACCGGCCGGCUUGCUGGCCAUCACCUAUAUUUUUCUCUUAGGUUGACCUCGGAUCAGGUAGGGAUACCCGCUGAACUUAAGCAUAUCAAUAAGCGGAGGAAAAGAAACCAACAGGGAUUGCCCCAGUAACGGCGAGUGAAGCGGCAAGAGCUCAAAUUUGAAAUCUGGCCCCUCCGGGGUCCGAGUUGUAAUUUGCAGAGGAUGCUUCGGGCGCGGUCCCCGUCUAAGUACCCUGGAACGGGUCGUCAUAGAGGGUGAGAAUCCCGUCUGGGACGGGUGGCCGUGUCCGUGUGAAGCUCCUUCGACGAGUCGAGUUGUUUGGGAAUGCAGCUCUAAAUGGGUGGUAAAUUUCAUCUAAAGCUAAAUAUUGGCCGGAGACCGAUAGCGCACAAGUAGAGUGAUCGAAAGAUGAAAAGCACUUUGAAAAGAGAGUUAAACAGCACGUGAAAUUGUUGAAAGGGAAGCGCUUGCGACCAGACUCGCCCGCGGGGGUUCAGCCGGUACUCGUACCGGUGUACUCCCCCGGGGGCGGGCCAGCGUCGGUUUGGGCGGUCGGUCAAAGGCCUCCGGAAUGUGUCGCCCCCCGGGGCGUCUUAUAGCCGGAGGUGCAAUGCGGCCAGCCUGGACCGAGGAACGCGCUUCGGCUCGGACGC
rnacentral:rRNA from 1 species